ACACAGUUUACAGGACCUCAUUCGCACUCCAAUGACAAUGAAAGGAAGGGGGUGUUGGGCAGAGAAGCAAAGAGCUCCGGUUCUCACCAUCACAUGGUAGCGGGUGUAAGUUUGUUCCCAACAUACCAGACAGAGAGCAACUCUCACCAGAGAAGAUCCCAAUGUGUUUUAUGCUAGAUCUGACUUUAAUUAAGUGUAGACAAUGCUCCCAUCAGUGCUGGAACUGGCCCCGGUAACUUGCUUUAGCUGAUGGAAUGUUACCAAACACAACAUGAUCAAAGGCUUGAGAGAUGAUUUCCCUCCUGUGCUUCCGCAAUUACCAUGAAAAGAACAUGGCCUGGUGGUCCCUGAUCCCCAAAGAAUGACGGACACCUGGAAAAAGCUUGGAGUAACAGAUUCAUGAG
rnacentral:lncRNA from 1 species